UGAAUGAAAAGGCAAAAUGAUCUGUUCAAGUAAUGACUUUCACAUUCCACUGUGCUUUUUUUUCCUAAAACAAUCCACGAUUCCCAUAGAUCCUUCUAUACUCUGCAACCCAAUACUGAUAGAACUGGAAAAAUAAUUUUUUGGACCAUUUUCACUUUCUCUAGAGGAAGAAAAGGAAAGUAUGUAAAGCCAGCAGGACUGCUGGAAGGCUGGUAGUUUUUUUCUUUUACUGUUUUUUUCUUUUAUUUUGUGAGCUUUAUGAAUGUGCUGUAGGCUUAGUUUGUGCUUCAAACACAUUUUAUCUGACAAAUCAUAACUGAUGCAAUAUGAUUUAAAAGUCUCCGCCAUCAUCCAGAAAUUACAGUUCUCUCCCCAGGGACCUUCCCCAAAACAUAAAGCAGAGCCUUCCUCCUCAUUAAAACAUUUUGUUGUGUGAAAAAUGACAAUGAGCCGUAAAAUCUGGAGGGAAAUGAUUGCUGCACACUAACAUAUGCUCAACGAUUUCAAUACCAGAGCGCGUGGAGACUGUCAGUUGCACUUCAAGAUGAGGAAAUGAGCUUCUUGAUCUUGUCCGGAUGGAGGUCAAUUUAGAGGGACAUUGCAAGCAAAGCAGUUGGGCCCUGAAAGCCUUUUUUCAACAGAGCAGCAGGAUAUCCAGCAAUCAGCAGUACGAAGGAAAUGGCUGAGCCACUUUGCUGAAACUCUGCAAAAUAAUUAAAUAAAAGAUUCAGCCAAAGAGGGACACCUGGCUUGGAAAACUUCCCCCUUCCUGCAUCUGACAACAUGAUAAACAGAUGAAAAGCAGGAUUUUUUGAACAGAAAAAGAAAGUAAUGCUGAUUGUACUAGUAGCUCCAUCUGCAUUUUUUUUGUUAUUUUGCUUUAAUUUAUACUACAUCCCUGCAGGCUGUUUUUGGAGCACAUCCCUUUGUUCUGCAAGGCACUGCAUCAUGUACACAGCAGCAGGAGGGGGCUUAGUUUCCUGCUGCUGCUCAUGGAAGGAGGACUUCCUACCCUAAGAAAGAGAAGACCAGGUGGAACUUGAGAAGGCUGCGAUGAUAACACUGGAGGCACAGCUUCAGGGCUUUUAGCACAAUGCGUCACACUCGUGUGACCCAUGACCAGCCUGCAAUGUUGUGCCUGACGUACAGAAAGAGCUCUGCUUCUCUGGAGAGCGUCACAGAGGCUGCAGGGGUCUGGAGCUGGCAGCCCCCUGGGGCAGGCAACAGCACCCUGUGACACCUGGUGCGUCAUCUGCAGCUGAGCUCCCAGUAAGGUCAGGCAGGAGACUGAUAAAUGACCCCGCCUUGUCAACACCGCCGUCAUUAGUGUUGUUAUCACCCUGCAAAUGGGAACGUGAAGGAAUUUGUAUCCCUGCCCUUGCCAAAGCUGGAGAGCAAGUGGGAACAGGAGCUGUGGAGGUGACUGUUCACACCACUUGCAUUCUCCUGCAAAGCAGCGUAAUGUUUGGUUUGUAACCAAAGGGAUUUUGUAGCUGAUAAUUAAACAUUAUUUCAGAUUGAUGGAAUUUAUAGGUUCUCUGAUGAUGACGAGGUUUCUUUCAAAGGAGGGACAAAACACUUCAGCAUGCACUGGCAUGGCUAGAACACUAACAAAUCACUGGCCUGGUGGAAAGCCCAGAAAUGCUCUCAUACCCCUUUUCUCAUCAGCCUCUGUGAACUAACACACAUCCAAAAACGGCAGGUAAUGUAGCCUAUACAGGGGCUGGAAAUGGGCCAACCUGGCCACGCUGAUUUUGACAAGUAAUUUGACAGCACUGUGAGUGGCAGGAGCAGUGUGAUUUAUUCAAAAGUUGAGUACUCUGGAAAAAAAAAGAAACACAACUAAAUUUGCAUGUAAUGAGAUGCAUUUUAAAAUCAAAACAAUUAACAGCUACGUUAUUUUUUCUUCCUUUGCUUUUACUUGGUGCACAGUCAGCCUUGUUGCUUAAGAUUCCUAUUGAAUACUUUUCGGUGGGAAUCUGAUGAGAAGCAGGGAGCCUGGCAGCCCCUCCAAGUACCUCCGUGUACAACCAGCAGCGUUGGUGGAGUUUCAUCAGCACAUAGGAGACAUAAGGGGUUGGCCAAUCUGGCCCAUCAAGUCCUGGUUUGCAAACUCUGCUCAACUAAGGGAUACCAGCAAUUGGAUCCACAGGUCCUGACUGAUCUGUUUGUGAAAAUUAUCUAAAGUGACAAGCAAGGUCACUCACCACUGACUCAUAUAAGGUGACUGGCUCAUUCUUGUAUGGGGUGUGCUGGGUGUUACAGCUAUUUGUGACCUCAGAUUGAGCACUGUGGCCUUUUGGUUCAAAAACAUAUGCUUCAAUGAGAUGUUCUGUGAAUUUGGUAACCUCAGUAUUCUAUGAGAAGUGUUUGAUUUCACAGGGGAAAGCCUAAAGAGAUUUGAAAUGUCUUGUUUCUGCAACUCUGAAACAAUUUUUUUUCAUCAGGUAACACCUGGUGCUUUUGUCAGUGCUGAGCAGCACUUUACAUUCUAUACUCUAAAAUCUUUGGAUCAGUUAUGCAUGGAUGCAAGAAAAUAAAACCCCAUUGUAUAUCUUUGCUCAC